UUCGUGGACGGAUUUUUGGAGUAUAAAAAAAAUUUGGACGAAGAAACACUUGGAAUUAAAGUGCAAGGAAUUUAAUUUUUAUGAACUACAAUUGUUGAAAAGAAGAAAUGCCAAUUAAUCAAAUAGAAUGCUCCACACCUAAUUAUACACAGGAAAUGAAUAGCUAUGUCUUAGCUAUUCUAAAGGACAAAGUCUACAAGUUUGACUCUAGCUAGAAAUGGUAAUGGAAUCAAGGAAAGCUUGAGCAUGAGUCAUCUUCUCUUCCCUCUCGAUUUUAAAACACCCACAAAGCUCCAAGGAGAUGGCCAGCUGUACCUGCAAGAUUAAUCACAAAAAUGAGGUUAGGAGAUGAGCUCAUACAUAAAAGAGUAAGGUAAAUCCCCCAUAUCCAAGGCUGAAAGGUCAGCCUACAAUCAACCCCCAAGACUUGCACAAAUUAAGUAAAGAAGCAUUGUGCCAAGUCCGAAAAAGAGAUAGAGCUGGCAGCCCCAAAAUAGGAGUCUUUGCCCCCAAGAUUUGCAGGCACAAGAUGCCAAGGAGGACAGCCCAACAUUCAUCAAAUUAGUAAGAAUAGCAGUAUCUCGAAAGGGAGCUGAGGAGCAGCCCCGAAAUAGCAUAUCACUUUCCAAGGAUUACACCAAUUUAGUAGUGAAGCUUUAAACCCAAAACCAAAAAGAAGAGGAAAUCUUUAACCCAAAUUAGACACAAAAUGCCAAGAAGUUUUGGCUAUAAAUACCAGCCCAUCACCACCUCCUUCCUCACACCUCUCUCUAAAUUCACAAAUCACAAGAAGUGCGGCAAGAGAGGAAGGAGUGGCGGCGAGCUUAAGGGCAGUCCGGCGUUCGAAGGAGUCGUCGAGAAAGAGGGUUAUCUCCGCGAGCUAAGGUCGGAGUCAGGAAAAAUCAAAUUAAGGAGUUUUAAGCGAACGAGGUUGAGCAGUAAUGACGGCGGGCGGUGUUGAGCAUAGACGAUGAAGAUCCUUCGAUAGAAUAGUACUCGGAUGCGCCGUGUCUCCAUACACGACGUUAUCUGCUCUUGACUCUUCCGCUGCAAAGUAAAAGUCGAGUUUACAAUCUUUGUAUCAUGCACUCUGAUACAGAUAAAUUCGAGUUAUUUCAGUUCAAGUUUCAGUUGUGCCACAGUAUUCCCCUUUCUUCCCCGCUUCUUUCAUCCUCCCCUAGUCGCGAUCAACCGGGCUUUCUAUCCUUAGAAAGUGCGGU